AUACGAAAGGUGCAAGCGUUGUUCGGAUUUACUGGGCGUAAAGAGAGUGUAGGUUGCUUAUUAAGUCGGAUGUGAAAUCCCGGGGCUCAACCUCGGAACUGCAUUCGAUACUGGUAGACUAGAGUUCGGGAAAAAUAAGCGGAAUUCCGUGUGUAGCAGUGAAAUGCGUAGAUAUACGGAGGAACACCUGAGGCGAAGGCGGCUUACUGGACCGAUACUGACACUGAGACUCGAAAGCGUGGGUAGCAAACAGGAUUAGAAACCCCGGUAGUCC
rnacentral:rRNA from 1 species